UAGAGUUUGAUCAUGGCUCAGGAUGAACGCUGGCGGCGUGCUUAACACAUGCAAGUCGAACGAGAACCAUUGGAUCGAGGAUUCGUCCAAGUGAAGGUGGGGAAAGUGGCGGACGGGUGAGUAACGUGUGAGCAAUCUGCCUUGGAGUGGGGAAUAACGGCUGGAAACAGCCGCUAAUACCGCAUGAUACAGCUGGGAGGCAUCUCCCUGGCUGUCAAAGAUUUAUCGCUCUGAGAUGAGCUCGCGUCUGAUUAGCUAGUUGGCGGGGUAACGGCCCACCAAGGCGACGAUCAGUAGCCGGACUGAGAGGUUGGCCGGCCACAUUGGGACUGAGACACGGCCCAGACUCCUACGGGAGGCAGCAGUGGGGAAUAUUGGGCAAUGGGCGCAAGCCUGACCCAGCAACGCCGCGUGAAGGAAGAAGGCUUUCGGGUUGUAAACUUCUUUUGUCAGGGACGAAGCAAGUGACGGUACCUGACGAAUAAGCCACGGCUAACUACGUGCCAGCAGCCGCGGUAAUACGUAGGUGGCAAGCGUUAUCCGGAUUUAUUGGGUGUAAAGGGCGUGUAGGCGGGAUGCCAAGUCAGCGGUAAAAAAGCGGUGCUCAACGCCGUCGAGCCGUUGAAACUGGCGUUCUUGAGUGGGCGAGAAGUAUGCGGAAUGCGUGGUGUAGCGGUGAAAUGCAUAGAUAUCACGCAGAACUCCGAUUGCGAAGGCAGCAUACCGGCGCCCUACUGACGCUGAGGCACGAAAGCGUGGGUAUCGAACAGGAUUAGAUACCCUGGUAGUCCACGCAGUAAACGAUGAAUGCUAACUGUCCGGUGCGAGUGAGCGCUGGGCGGUACAGCGAAAGCGUUAAGCAUUCCACCUGGGGAGUAC
rnacentral:rRNA from 1 species